rnacentral:ncRNA from 2 species
AUUACAUAGACGAAUCCUGGUGCUCGCAAAUCGCGAGUGAAAAGGGAAUCCAGUGGAAAGCUGGAACGGUCCUCGCCACGGUGAUGUUCGAUGUGCAAGCUAUGGCUUUCAGCCAGCCACUCCGUCCUUGAUGGGGGAAGGCGCUUUGGCACAGAUGAGACUCAGUCCGGAGACCUGCCAGGAUUGGUUGUGCAUC